GAAGUGAAAGCAGGAGCGUUUAGUUUAAAACGGCCCGAUAAUGAGAUGUUGUAGCGUCCUGGUGGAGUUUAGAGCAGGUGUGAGGAUGACAUGAACACACACACAACAUAAAAACACAGUGGAAAAACAGCCGACAUGCUACUGAUGCAUUCAGAACAAAAUUCAGUGGUUUAAACAAUUUAAUCAAACUGUUAAAGUCUGUUAUGAUGAUCUGCUCACUAUUUGUUAAAUUGAAAUAUUUUGGGUUAAAACAUAACAUUUUGUUAAAAUGAGGUUGCUAUAAUAACUUAUGAACUCUAUCCAUUAGCAGUGAGGAUCAUUUCAGUUCUGAUUUAUAGACUAAAUCCAGUGUUUCAGAUGACCAGCUUGGUGAAACAACUCAAGAUUGUACAAUUCCAAAUUGAAUUCUAUAUGUGGUGCAUAAACCCAGAUGUCACAAACACAUUCAGGUGGAAUCAAAGGACAGAGGUGACUUUCUCUAUUUCCCCACAGUUUCUUUAAUCUCCUCCUCCCUGCCCUUCUGCUCAAGGUGAAUAUAUAAAGCUUGUGCAUGUCAAAUGUUGUUGGGAUAAAAUAACUCUGAGCGUGUGGCACAGCGUAGCGAGUUGUGUUGGUUGCGAACGGAGGAAGAGUGGGCUGUCAGCAGUGGUUUGGGCCGUCUGAUGAAGCAGGUCUGUAAUGAGCUGAUGAAGGCUACAUAUACAGCUCGGCACCACUCCGCAAAUUCUAAAGGUGAUGAGGGCUGGCAUCCUCACCCGUGAUGAGAACUCCCUGCUGCUUUGCACUUUGAUGUGUUUGUAUGUGCGGUGAAGAGAAGGAGCGCAUUUGUGAAUUUGUUUGUUUUGUUUAGUCUAGAGGGUUUACACUAAUAGAAUGAAUGUUGUUUUAAGCUACUCACACUGUUGCUAGCACCUGGUGCACACUAGAACAAUGCAUUGGGCAAUAGUCACAUCACUCCAGCUUUAUCCUGUGAUGAGGCAUGCUUUUUGAACAAAGGAAAACAACUACAGACAAAUGUAAAGAACUUUGCUUUGCAAAUAUUCUUUGCUGCAGUAUUUUAAGGCAGCUAACUUUCUGCAAUAAAAAUAAUAAACAUUUAAUGACACUAUUUUAUUUUUUUUUAUUCGUUGAUGCGUGCUUACAUGAACUGUCUAUGGGC
ensembl:lncRNA